AGCCAAAACUUUGGCAAUGUAAGGUAUCAAUGGCAAGUUGAGGAUCAACAGAACCACAUUACCGAUGUACAUUGAAAUGAUCACUGACCAGAAAAUCUGAGGAUCAUCCACCAUAAGCCUUGGCCC
rnacentral:ncRNA from 1 species